AAUAGCUUUCAACUGGUUGGGGAUAUUUGGGUGGAGGAGGGAAUCAAGUUGGGUAUUUUCAUCUAAUAUUUACUUAAAUGUUAUUUUCACCAAAGAGCUAUCUUUUAUACUGCCUUUCUUUAAAGAACCGGGUAACUUCACAUCCUCUUUUGAUGGUGAAAUACCUUUAAGGCAGGAAAGUAUUGGUAAUUUACGGAUGGCUUGUUCAAUGACUGAACAAUUAAUUUCGGGAGGGAUGCUGCACCAAAACUCUGUUCUGAUAACAGGUAGUGAGUGAGUCUUGGCAUUUGUCUGGCUCCCUAUUAUACUUUCCAGGACGCUGUCACAUACAUCCUCUUUGCCUUUUUCUCCACUUGGAGCCACUGUUUCCUUCAUGCCAUGUUCUACAGACAAGAUGCAUGUCACGCACCCCAAGGGGUGCAUUUUUUUCCCUGUGAAUUCCUAUAACCAAUCAGCAGCUGUCACAUGCCUUGAAGUUCAGCUUUAGGGACUUGUAGUGUUCAGUGGAGCAUUGAGAAGCAGGUUUUGUGCCAAAGAGCUCAUCCCCCCCCCCCCCAUUUAUUUGAGAUUUUGGCAUCAUUCUUCAUUUGUGAAAUGUUACCAGUCUGCUGACAUUUUAAUGCUCCUUUCAGGAGCAUCACCAGCUUUAGAAUAAUACUGUAUCUAUGUAUGUUAUGUUGAAACAAAAUAGGGAUACAAGAGGCAAUCUUCUCCAGUUGAGAACCUGCACACUACCUCGAACCUCUCUUAGAAGCAGAAUAUGUUCUUUCAUCCCUUCUGCUGGAUUGUAAGCUCCUUGAGUAUAGGAACUACUUUUGUUUUCCCCAUCCUCGUAUCCACCGCAGUGCCCUCCAUACCUUGUACAGUUGUUCAGCAGUAGUCAGUGAACAGAAUUAUGUACACAGAUUUGAACAUCUGGCUGCCAAGUAACACUGACUGUGAAUCCAGCCCUGAUCCAAGUGUUUGACUUUCAUGGGCUGGUUGGCUAAUUCCACCAAGCAUCCUCUUCUAGGAACUGUUUGAAUUAAGGUUCACUCACUUGCCUUUCUCACAUUCCUUCCUAUUUUGUCUAUGAUCCUGUCAGUUUGCAAAGUUGAGUAGGUUUUUCCUUUUCUCCUGGGAGCUUUGCUCAAUGCUUAUAUUUCCUUUGGAACAGGGGCUAUACCAUCUUAAAAGAGCUUGUCUGCAAACUCUAAUGAUAACCUGCAAGGCACAUCAAAACACUGUGCUUUGAGGUAAUCUGCAUUUCAACUGAGCUUUUCUCAGUGGCACUGUCAGCAAUGUUAAAACCCUGGCAGGUUUUAUCAAUGUAAAUAUCGUGUGUUUUCUUUUUCUAGUAGAGAUUCACUUUUUAUUUUCCCCUGCUUUGUUGUAGACUCUCAUAAGAGAAUUCAUGGUCUUCCAAACUGUUUCAUCUCUUAUAGUCUGUCCUGGUAUUAUUUUCAUAAUUUGCCACCAAAAUAAUUAUUCUGUUUUAGGAUUUAGAUCAAAGGAAAGUGUCAUAUUCUGUAUUGUAUUUUAUUGCUGAAGGAGCAGGUUAUUGGCAAAAUAAUUUUACUGUAUUGGGUGUGUACAUCUAAGAAUCUUAAGCGUGGCUAAUGAGUCAGGGCUCUUAUAGGAUUCUUAAUUAUGUUUCGUUUUUUUUAGUAGCCACUACAAGUUGUUUGCUAAUAUUAAUACUUGCUCAAAACAAGCCAACACAUGAUAGUCUUUGCCUAAAAAUCUCUUUGAAGAGAACAUAAAAGUGAGAUAGUGUUCUUGAGAGGUUUUUUUUUUCAGCACUAAUCCUCCCUAAGACUCUUAAAAUUUAUUCCCAACUCUCCAUAAUUCGUUUGUUCUGUUCUAACCUGACAUAAUUUCUACUCUUAUAAUGUUAAACUUAAAAGUUCACUUGUAAAUCUUUAGAUUUAUGAAAUGUUCUUUCCCAUUGACAAACCAGUUUGAAUGAAGGAAGCUUUUGAAAGAUUACUUAGCAAAUUGCCCUAAGUCUUUGUCGUUAAUGGCUAGAUCAUUAUUUCUCACAGCAGGGCUUUGGAGACCAGGAGAGUUUGCUAGCGCUCUGAAGUUCUCUGUCCAUCCCUUCUAACCUUAGACAUUGUGGGAGGGAUGGAGGACAGUCUCUCUGAUUGAACAAACUGCCCAUCUGUCUGACUUCAGGAGAAAUUUUACUUGUCUACCGUCUUGUCCCGUGGUCUUUAAAUUGAGAGCUGUACAUUUAACUGUCUUUUUUCUAGCUUUUGUAUCAUGGGAGUAAUGAAAAACAAUCAAGUGGUUCAUAAAUACUGGUUAACUUUUGACUCAGGAAAUUGAGACGUGGAGACUGGGAAACCUGGCAGACGUCACAGAGCUGCUAGUGAUCCAAGCUUCAGCUCAGGCCUUCUGACUCGGAGUGCUCUUCUGUGUUCACAUGCAUGCUUCCCAGAUCGUAAAUUGCAGCUCACUUUAACUUUAGAAAUGGUCCACUCAAUAAAGUUUUGAAUGAAGCAA